GACGAACGCUGGAGGCGUGCUUAACACAUGCAAGUCGAACGAUGAAAUGGAGCUUGCUCCAUGGAUUAGUGGCGAACGGGUGAGUAACACGUGAAUAACCUGCCCUUAAUUUUGGAAUAACCCAGGGAAACCUGGGCUAAUACCGGAUAAGUAAACCUGUGGCAUCACAUGGUUUUGGAAAAUUUUUCGAUUAAGGAUGGAUUCGCGGCCUAUCAGCUUGUUGGUGAGGUAAUGGCUCACCAAGGCGACGACGGGUAGCCGGCCUGAGAGGGUGAACGGCCACACUGGGACUGAGACACGGCCCAGACUCCUACGGGAGGCAGCAGUGGGGAAUAUUGCGCAAUGGACGAAAGUCUGACGCAGCGACGCCUCGUGAGGGACGAAGGUCUUCGGAUUGUAAACCUCUUUCAGCAGGGACGAAGCGAAAGUGACGGUACCUGCAGAAGAAGCACCGGCUAACUAUGUGCCAGCCGCCGCAGUAA
rnacentral:rRNA from 1 species